rnacentral:rRNA from 1 species
CAGUAGCCGCGGUAAUACGAAGGGGGCUAGCGUUGCUCGGAAUGACUGGGCGUAAAGGGCGCGUAGGCGGAUCACGCAGUCAGAUGUGAAAUUCCUGGGCUUAACCUGGGGGCUGCAUUUGAGACGCGUGGUCUAGAGUGUGAAAGAGGGUCGUGGAAUUCCCAGUGUAGAGGUGAAAUUCGUAGAUAUUGGGAAGAACACCGGUGGCGAAGGCGGCGACCUGGUUCAUAACUGACGCUGAGGCGCGAAAGCGUGGGGAGCAAACAGGAUUAGAUACCCCGGUAGUCCCUGUCUCUUAUAC